ensembl:lncRNA
CUGACCUGGGUUCACCUCGCCUCGCCUCACCCCGCACCGCCCGGGGAGGAAAUGGCGGCGGGCGCUGUCUCAGCGGGGAGCGGGGAUCCCGGCCCCGCAGCGCCACCUCUCCGGCUCGGAGCGCCAGGGCCGGCGGCGGCCCUUGCGGGGCGCCGGUUUGCGAGGCGGUCUCAUCUGUCAGUCGUCGGAAGCGGCUCCGGCAGCGUUGGAAAUCUCAACUUCUCUGGAAAUCCUUUCUUGUGUGUUCAGAAAAAAACGUUAUAUCAGCGCAGGAACGUGCGGCUGCAAUUGGAGACAGCAGGGCUGUCUGAUAAUAAAAGUUAGCUUUCUUUGGUGUGCCUGCGUGUGGUUUUUAAGGCUUAUACGGACUGCGGGAUGCGUUCGCGCCGCGGACUUCGCAGAGUGCGCUGUGGAAAUACAGCUCAGCCAACAGCUACAAACGGCCACCGGGAGGGUGCCUGCACUGAGGGAAGGGAUCAGCCGAAUCACGGCUCCCAGAUCUCAGAGACCUUCACUUCUGGAUUACUUUUCAGGUAGAUUCGUUUCCCUGUUUGAGCUGCCCUGUGCCUGUACGCGGGUAGCGUGAGGACAGGGAACCUCUUAGCAGUGACGCUGCCAAAAAGCUAUCCACGAGCUUGUUGGGUUCUUCUGGUUGUAAAACUGUAAACAGCGUGAAUACUUGGAAUAUUUACAGGUUCAAAAUACUCCAUUUCUAGCUUUUGGUUGUGGAAGAUCGGUAUAAAUAAAGUGAUCAUAUCAUUAGGUAAAGAACAGCGCUUCUCUGUAAAGGGCAAUGCUUCUGUGAGGAAAUGCAGUAGAGGUGAUAGGGCACAGCAGGAGUGGGAACUUCAGGAGAAGACACAGAUGUUUUCAACAAGAAGGUGUUAUUGCUAGAAUUACUGGGACGUGGCCAAGAAACUGGCAGGCUAAAGUUAGCAUCUAGCUGCAUGUAUGGAAUUUGACACAAGUGGUGCCAGUAGCGAUCCUUCAGGAUAGCAUGCUGGACAUACGUGCAGUAUCUCCUCCCUCAAAAUACGCCUUGCAGAGAGCAACAUCAACCUGCUGCAGUGCUGCAGUACCAAAUCUCUCUUUGAAGCUUGCAUGUCUUCUGUUUGCAGAUCUGUCAGGCCGUGCAGAUCACAGCAGUGCACUUUCUGCCUGUUGUAGCCUAACCGAGGCAAUGUUUUUUAAUGCGUUACCCUGGAAAAUAUCUUAAGGACAUCUGAAGGAGCAGGACAAAAAGCAAUGUAGUAGUAGUUCUAUGAGCUUAUUUCCACCUAGAAAUACCAUGUUCCUAAACCUUAUUGUCAAUGUGAGUUUGAUUUGAUGGUUCCAUUGGGGGCACACAGUCCGUAGGUGUCAGAUUAUGAGGGCAGUACUGUGUUUGUGCUCCUCUUACACUGCAACCCCUUAAUGCGUGAUGGAGGUUUGCUGUGAGGAGGAAGUGGGUGGUAGCUCCCUUUUCAUGGCAGUCACUAGGGUGAAUACCAGCAUUGCCUAGGGGAUCAUAUCAGACAUCGCUGAUGACCUGUUUGCAUUUGAAAACCAGAAAGGAACAAGUAUGAGUUUAAGUGGCAGAGAAGCUAUUAACUCUGAAAUGCGUCUAUCUGUCCUAUGUGAAUCUGCAAACUAUAAGUUUCCAGUAGUGAUACCUGACAGCAGAUGCCUACUUCUACCUACUUUAUCCUCCUGACUAAAAAGAAAACACUGAUGUUCAUUUUCUUGUUUGUCUGAGGUACCUUCAUGCCAAGUGUUAAGUGAACCAUUUGUUUCUGCAUACUGAUGCAAUAAACCAUGUCAAGUCUGUAUAAUCUUUAGCACACCGAGGGUUGUUUUGUUGUUGUUGUUGUUUUCUAAUGGAGCCACUGGAAAAAAUAACUAUGAUAUCC